GCAGUAGAUGUAUGCUUUCGCAGCUCAACAGGGGGCUGCGACCAUGAUUGCGCUCUUCCGGCGCCAACGCCAUGCUCAAAAAAUGAAUAUAAGCUGUCAUGAUUCGUGUGAAUAAACAGAGACAUCAGGAGGAGAGGCGCAGCUUGAUGGCUACUGGUGACCACAACUGCUCUCUCGCCAGCGCUGCCGCCACAGCAUGUGCGCUCCUUCUCGGGCCUCCCCACUGCUAGGGCCAAGAACUGAGAGGCGUGCAAGUACUGCCUUCCCUAACCUAGCCGACGACACAAUGCUGCUGCUGCAUCUGAUAAUGAUGACGCAUGUCACCCUCAAGGUGGUUUUGCCAUUUCUAGUGAGAAAAGGAGAUCAAGGCUGGCCUCCCUGCGCUCAUGCUAGUGCACACAUGUUCGGGUUGCUGCUGUUGUCUUCCCUAUCCGUGUCCCCGAGCUGCUGCUGCGGGUACGGCUUCUCGGCCUCAGAUGUGGCCCUAGAUCCCUCCACUAGUCGUCGCAAGCAUCGACCAGCGGUGGGCUAGCUUGCCGGGUAGACGACACCUCUUGGUGCACUGAGAUCGACGUCGACUACAAUCCGUCCUAGAUCUGGAAGGGGCAUCUUCAAGAUCAUGUGCAUCCCGAGCCUUUGUCUUCUGGCUAAGGAGACAAGUCACUAGCUGAUUUGACACCAGAUUCUGUUGUACCCACUAAACUUCCUCGGGUCCCUAAAUAUGUGAAUUCUUCUCAAGGACCUGUUAGUAAUACAUCAUCAACAUCCUAGCGUGGUGCUGCAAACUCAGCUGUGAGUGUUCCAUGCGUCUUGAUGCCAAGCUCUUCGAUGGGAUCUGUUAGCUCGGACAAAUCAAGUUUCAACCUAGAUGCUAAGGUUCGACUAGGAAUUCAAGUUGAACCCAAAUGAUAAGGGUUUCACUCCAUUGACUUAUCCUGUCAGGCCACCUCGCCCUCUAGAAGUCGAUGCAACAUACUAUUAUCCUAAUAACAUGCAAACUACUCCUGGACCUUGGCAUGGCCACAUGGGGAUUGAUUAGGAAGCUAAGCCUCACAUCUCAUCGAUAACGCGGUGGUUGAAGCAUCUUUGAGCACUCUUAUAUUGUGUUCAGUAAGGUGAACAUACCAUCGCAAGCCUAGGAGCAUGCAUGUACUUUGUCGAGACCUUCCCAUGUUCUCAUUACUUCCAUUUCGGUGAACUCUCGAAUAAGGGUACAAGAAGUCGAACAAGGACUACCCCCACAGGAGGUUGUCACCCAGCUGAGAAGUGCCGGUCUCCCCGAGAUCCAGCUGGUGGUUGCCUGUCCUGGCUGCUGCUGCUGCCGACUACUUCUGGCUCGCUACCAUGCAAUGACGGCAAAUUCACUGUGGUGUAACUGCGGCAGAGGUGGUUUCUUUGUCGAGGCCGUGAUUUAGUUGAGUUUUUGGUACUCCUCUUCGUUAGAGCAAAUGAAUUGAGUGCAAGGCAGCCGACGUUCUUGCUGCUGACAGACUUGCAGAAAUUAAGGGAUCGGAUCUAUGUUUAUUGGCAGGUUUGCAUGGUUGAUGGAAUUGUCGGUAUGCUCUCAAGAUACCCACCCACAUUAGCUAUUGGAAGAUAUGCAGUCCUCUAUGGAAGUCACGGAAGCUGGGACAACUCUAGCUGGAAAUUGUAAGCGGAAUAUUUUAACCUCGUCUAGACUGAUAUUCGGCAGAAUCCUGAUUGAGUUCUGGUUAACAUCUAUGCUUGGCAGCAAUCUCAAUUAGAUAAAUAAUCAGAACUUGAGAUGGUACAUACUACUUCGGCAGGCCAGUAACAAAAGAGAGUUGCAAGACAUGUACUCAAGAGAACCGGGAAGUUCAUAAUAUCUGGCGUUUAGGUGAUAGGAUGUACAGGCAGCAUGUUGCCGUGGUCCUUGCUCUUGAAGGGAGGAGUGGAGCUGGAGAUCUGGCCGGCCGGACAUGCUUUCUUUGUCGAUUUCAUUGAUCGAUCCAGUGGCAUGUUCAGUGCCUGUUAGGUUGUUAUGAGUAGGUGGAGUGCUGUUUGGGAAGAAGCAUCUAUGUGGAUGGAAGGUCCUUUAUUUAUAAUACUAUGCAAUAUAAUGUUGGUACCAGAAAUUUCUUCGGCUGAUCAUAUUCAACCUGAUGGAAGAGUGAGAGAUCCAUGUGGGUUCUUUUUAUGCCAAAACUGAGAGAAUUAACAUUUCACAUUGAUGAGAGAUGCAGGUAGUGCUUGUUUUCUUUCGAUCUUCCCGGCUGUAUUACUGUAUAAACGACAGCGUUUUGACACCUAGACACCUGAUUUGUUGUGUAUGA